rnacentral:lncRNA from 1 species
UAUAGGUUUUCUCCCAAGGAUGAGAUAGUGUUUUACGUUAUCAGGGUAGAUUAUGUGUUCCUAGUGUAGAUAAGUUGAGGCAAUAAAUUCUUGCAGACGUGCAUGGGGCGUAUUACUCUAUUUAUCUAGGGGGCACUAAGAGGUACUGCGAUUUAUGGGAGAUCUAUUGGUGGAGUAGGAUAAAGAGAGAUAUUGCAGAGUUUUAAGCUAAGUGCUCUACAUGUCAGCAAUUUAAGGUUGAGCACCAGAAACC